GAAUUGUCAGCUCAUAUAUUUGAGGUUGAUAUUUGAGGUUGGUACUAUUUUCCAUUUUAUUUUGCAUUUUUUUCCCUUUAAAAUGUACUUGGAAACCUUCAGUUUCCUGUCCUAAUACUGCUGACUAAAUUAUUCUUUGUUUCCCCUGUGCUAAAAGGAAGCUUACAUGGGAGAACAUGGAACAGGAGCAAUCCAGGUUAAUAUGGUGGAAUUUGCCCCUACUUUAUUGCAAGUGGCAAAAGUUACUCAGGGAUUGCCCUGACCUGAAGCAUCCCUGGCCAUCCAGGCCCUCCACUAGAAGCUGAGCCUCAGGUCCCUUGAGCAUCAGAGGCUUGGAGAAAAGACCCUCAGUGGCCGUCUCAUCCCUCCCCAUAGUGCACAGAUGCGGGAACUGAAGUCCAGGGAGCCCCUGUAAAGAGGAGUCGUUUCUGGAUCUGGGAAGAGGGUUCAUCAUCCCCCACCUGCCUUGGAAGAAUAUAGUUCCCACAUUUGAGGCUAUUCUCUCCUCCUCAGGAGGCUCAGUGACAAAGUCGCCAACACUCCUCUCUGUGCUCGCAGCUUGGGGACUGCCCCUUGCAGGCUCCAAGCAGCUCAGGGGUCACGCCAUGCCCCACCCACACCCCCAGCUUCAACCAGGACCAGGCUGCGAAGGGGGGAUGCCAGGGGCAGCGGACACCUCUCAGAUGCCUGGGGGAUGCGAGCGGGCCCCUGACUGCAGAGAGAGCAGGACUGGAGCCAGAAGCACGGUGCCCUGGGCGGCAGGAGGGGCUCCCAUUUCCCUGGAAUCUCUGCGUCUGCCUCCUCGGGCACAGUAGGGCCUGACUUGCUGAACUGAAGCAGGAAGAGAAGGGAAGGGCUGGGAGAAGUACCCUUCGUGAUGUUCCGUCUCCUCACCUUACCUGCCUCGCCUCACCUCACCUCGGAUGUGCCUAUCAGCAGCGUGGCUUUGCCAGAUGGAUUGAAGGGCAGCCAGGAAUGGCUCCUCAUUGCCUCUGACCUGGGCCCUUCCCUUCCACAGUCACAGAGGAGGGGGCCCACCUUGGCCUAGCCUCCAGGAAUCAAAGCCCUUCACCACUAUUCUUGGACGUACCUGGAAUUCGGGUCGAUACCAAGUGGUGGGCUGAGUUUUCCUCUCUUUGCCUCUCCGGGCUGAGGCAUUAGCUUGUGACUCCUAAAGGGCGGAAAACUCAGUGAUAGAAUAACUUCCAGCCUUCUGUUGUAGAGUACUCUCCAGUUCACACAGCGCCUCCGUACUUCUGAUUUCAUUCAGUUGCUACAGCAAGUCGGCAAGAUGCCUACCAUAAGCAUUGUCUCCACUUUACAGCUGAGAAAAUCAAGGCUCAAAGAGAAUAUCCAUCUUCUGUUCUUGCUGUGAGAAAUCAACACAAACUGAGCAGCUUAAUAACACACAAACGCAUCAUCUCACCAUUCUGUAGGUCAGCAGUGCGGGCACAGCGCGGCUCAGCUGGUCCUCUGCUUUGGGUUUCGCGACAUCGAAAUCAAGGUGUCGGCAGGGCUGUGUUCCUUUCUGGAGGUCUGAAGAUGAAUCUGCGUCCAAGCUCAUGCAGGUUGUUGGCAGAUUGAAUUCCAUGCAGUGUAGGAUGAGGUACCAGUUGGCUGUCAGCGGGGAGCCCUUCUCAGCUUCUAGAGACUGCCUGCACUCCUCAGCUUGCAGCUCCCUUCCGCCAUCUUCAAAGCCAGUGGUGGUUGAGUUCCUUUCAUGUUUUGAGUCUCUCAGAGCUCCUCUUGUGACUAAUCUCUCUUCUGCCUUGAGCCAGAGAAAGCUCUCUGCUGUUGAGGGCCCAUGUGACUAGAAUGGGCCCACAGGGAUAAUCCAGGACAAUCUCCCCAUCUCUACGUCUGGAAACCUCAUCACACAAUCUCCCCAUCUCUAGGUCUGGAAACUUCAUCACAUCUGCAAAGUCACCUUUGCCAUGGCCAUGUAAUGUACGACCUUCACAGUUCUGAAGAUCAUGGCACGGGCAUCCUUGGGGACCAUUAUUCUGCCUCCCACAGAGAGGUUUUGAAACCUAUCACUCAGCUAGGAAGUGGCAGAGGUAGAACCUGAACCCACAUCUCCCAGCUGCACAAUGUGUACUCUUUCCACCACAUCUCAGCUGCCUCAGGAACUUCCGGGUCAUCAUUUAAUUCAUCCCAUUUCUUUCUGGUAAACCAGAGGCUGGGGGAGAGAUUUCAUCCUUGCAUAACAGAGCCUGGGGAGAAAUGUGGGAAGCUGAUGAAGGUGGACCCUGGCCUCGGGCCAGCUCAGUGGGAUAAGGGGGUGUGGGUUCCUGGGCCUGUGUAGACUAGGCUGGUGAGGCCCAUCUGGGGACCCUGGCAGCAAUGGGUUAUCGCAAGAAGACCGGAUGGGGAGGAAAGAGAUGGGGACUCUCCAGGGUCCCACAGGCUGACUGAGCCACACAAAUGGCCAACAUCCAAGUCAGGAGGUGGGAACAGCCCGCUCCCAAGUCAGAGACUCAGCAACGGUCAAGCUCUGGAAACCAGUCAGAACCUCUAGCUUUCUCUGUGUGAAUUACCCAGCAGCAAAACCAGGCAAAACUGGAGUGGUCUCGUUGGGCCUGUGAGGGAGACCCUGGGAAGUUUGUGUAGAGCCAGAGCCAGACAAUGGAAAUGGCGUGGUGCCUGUCAUGUGAAACAAAGGAUAUGGCAAUGUUAUUGGUGUUCCUUUGUGCAGGGUGCUGUCUUGAUUUUGUUAAUAAACAAAAACAUACUGUAAUAGGGGCUUUCAUAGUCUUAAUUCCAACUUGAUGUCCUUUGCCUCCAAGUGCCCUUCCCCAUGAGUUUAGUCCACAUCCAAGGAAAUCUGCUUCCUUG